rnacentral:rRNA from 1 species
AACGAACGCUGGCGGCAUGCCUAACACAUGCAAGUCGAACGAGACCUUCGGGUCUAGUGGCGCACGGGUGCGUAACGCGUGGGAACCUGCCCUUAGGUUCGGAAUAACUCCCCGAAAGGGGUGCUAAUACCGGAUAAUGUCUUCGGACCAAAGAUUUAUCGCCUUUGGAUGGGCCCGCGUUGGAUUAGCUAGUUGGUAGGGUAAAAGCCUACCAAGGCGACGAUCCAUAGCUGGUCUGAGAGGAUGAUCAGCCACCCUGGGACUGGGACACGGCCCAGACCCUGACGGGGGGGCGCAGGGGGGAUUUUGGGAUAGCGGGCGAAAGCAGGAGCCCUCAGGGCCGGGUGGGUGAUUAAGUGCUAAGGGUUGGAAGCCCUUUUUCCCCGGGAUGUUAAGACCGGUCCCGGAGAAAAAGCCCCCGCUAACCUCCUG